UAUAAAUGUAUUAUUAUUAUGAUUAGCAGCAGCACCACCACCAACGUGAUCACCCUGUGUCAGAUACUGCAUGGUAUGGAGUCUGAGUUAAAAGCCUAGGUGAAUACUAAGAGUAUCUGGUUAAGAAGGUGAAGUGCCCAUCACUCCCUUCCACACAGCACUGAAUGGCUACUGGCAGAGGGACAAUGCCUGGCAUAUAGUAGGCAUAUAGUAGAUAAGUGUUUGUGGAUUAUUUAUUGGGGAAAGAAUCAGUCGUUCCAUCAUCCCUUGCUUUGCUGGGUGCUGUAGGAGGCAGCGUGGGGGCACUGAAAGAAGCACAGAUAGGUGAUUUGGAAUCAUAAGAUGUGAGUUUCGUUGAAGGUCUGACACCUAUGUGAUCUUAGGGGUCAAGGUACAGUGUAUCGAACUGUGACUGAUCAGACCCAGAAGGGCUAGGAAGGCCCUACGACAGAGCACAGCACCUUCUCUGAUGCCAGCAUGCCAUGAUGGG